GGCAGGAUGAGAAACUUGUUACACUGCACAAAAACGACCAAGUGAUUGUUGAGAUAAACCAAGGUCCAAGUGAGGCUGCACCUACAUCGGCCCCAGGCGCGCCUCCAACACUUGAAGAUCUUUUUGGUGCUGGAUAUGAAGUCAUUGCUAAUGGUACUUCCACUCAACCUGAUGGGAAACAAACGAAAGUGUUUCUUUUGAAAUUGACUUCUGAAACAUCACAAGUUAAACAAUCAAAUAAUGCUGUGAUUUAUACACCUAGUGAACCUGCCAAAGGUGGAAAAGUACUUGUUGAUGGUCAAGGACCUCUUAAAUCGUCAGUGUCAUCACCAGUGUGCUACCUGGUGCAAAACCUCCAGCACCAACUCCAUUUAAAUACUGUGGGCCGACAUCUACAGGAACACCUGCGCCAG